rnacentral:lncRNA from 1 species
AAUAUAAAUUAUAUGAUAUAAUAUAUAAUAUAUGAUAUAAAUAUAUUAUGUAAUAUUUAUAUAUUAUAUAUUAUAUAAAAAUAUAAAAUAUAGUUAUAAUAUAUAAUAUAUAUUAUAAAAUAUACUCUCUCUCUCUCUCUCUCUCUCUAUAUAUAUAUAUAUAUAUAUAUAUAUAUUUGGUCAAAAGAAAGGAUCAUUCCUGCUCUAAGAUGGCCGACUAGAUGCAGCCAGGAGGAACAUCUCCCACAGAGGGACCAGAACACUGGGAAGAGUGGCACACUCCUAGCAGAUCUUCAGAGGGACGGCAUCGAGGUUGUACAGAAAGAAGACACAAAUGCUGGGCUGAAGCAAGAGGAUGCUGGAAAUGCUGCACGGGGCUACCAUGCAUUGGCUUUCAUUCCUGGCCCCCAGUGAUUCCUGCCAAAAGGUUUUACAUGAGGCCCAUUGAAGGCCUGUCCUGA